rnacentral:lncRNA from 1 species
GUCAUUUGUUCUUCCGCCAGCGCCCAUCGUGAAGACCACAGUUUCCUGUCGCGUGGAUGUGUUUCCUCUCUGGCCAUUGCCAUCCGCCCAAAUCUACAGACAUCCCGCAUGUUCCCGGGCUCGUCUCCCCAAUACAGGGCACCAAGGCUGUAGACUGCGCAGCCCUCCUGGAGACAGAUGGAAGCUCCUUGGGUCGACAGAUUACAGCUUCUGGAACCCCCUACUCCCUUCAACUCCGAGAUGGACACCCACUGUCCAGGGAGAGGAUGCCUGGAAAUAACAGCUGGGAUCUACAGUGGCCAAAGAGUUGUCUCCGUCUUGCUACAUCGACAAACUGGUGCUCCUGACCACUUCGGAAGCGUUUUCCUCUCCACUCUGACAACAGGCAAGAGUGAGGGUCCAACAAUACAGAGGAAGUAACGUGUCGCUGCUACUCUUCCAUGCCCAGUGCCAGGAGCGACGGUACACUCCAGAGUGCUGUGCCCUGAUGGGCCUUUGAGUGGCCAGUGCAGUGGAUCAUCAGCCCUGUCUCCCAAGAGCUCCAGUCCCUUCUCCGGAGAGGAAGUGGGUCCACUGGCAGCUCAGGAGGCCAUAGCAGGAUUGUCACGUGUGCUCAACAGUCCUCCUCGGCUUUCCAGAAGAGGCUGGAACAGGGCCCUUGAAGAUGUUUGUGGACAUCAGAGGGCCAAAGACGACACAAAGUGAAACUGGAGACACCGCCCCCCCUUGGCAUCAUGAAACUGCCGAUGUUACUGGCUCAUGCAUGGGAGACACCAGCAUACAAAGUCUUGACACCAACACCUCAGAGGGCUGUGUUCUGUCCCCGUGACCAUCAUCUAGUGCCUGGAAAGACUAGUGACAAGAACUUGUUGCCAACUUCCUAUUACCUCCCUAACAGUUGUGCAAUAAACCCCAUAGGUUAAUUCAGUCUGCCUUUUAAAUCUGUGUCAACCCAUGAAUUCAGGGCUAGGUGUGGAAAAGGAGGCUAGCUCCUGACACGCCUGUGACUUUCCUGUUCUUAAUGCCCCCUGAGGCUUGGGCUUCAGGGUGUUGGGAGUGGACAAGUAGGGCUGGUAGUCUAUAUGAUUUUAGGGCUUGUGAGAGUUGAGAUAGCUGAACAGAGAAGGUCAGAACUUGGGGAAGGUGCCUGUGUCAAUAAAAAAAGGCUGGGGUGUCACAGUCCUAGGAAGUGACGUAUCAUUGCUGAGAACUAGGGGUGUGAAUGGGCAAAUGGACUGGAAUAUAAAAUGUAGAGCAUUUUCCUGACAGGACAGGUUGCUGUAGACAGGAACGAGGGUAUGCUCAGUGACUGGCUUUGGAGGACCUUAAGGAACAGAAGUACUCUGGGUGGGGUGGAAGAGAAGAAAUGCCCUUGAGUGACUUGGAUACCAAUAGGGCCAAAGAGAAACUGGUAAAGAGGGUGUAAUUACUGAUGGAUUUAUAACUAGGACUUUUCUAUUGGAAGUGAAGGACCUGGGGAAGGCUUGGUAAGGCUGCUUACCAAGCUUAGAUCCCAGAACACAAACAGGUAAAUGGUACAUUUUUAAAACUAACACAUUUUUCUUGUCUGAGAAUUUCUAAAUUUUGAUUUUUAAAUUAAGUCUGUGUAGGGAGGUCUGCAGUUCACAGAAGGCAUAUGAUCACCGGACUGGGUGUUAGAGGUGGCCUUGAGCCUCCUGACAUGAAUGCUGGGGACUGAACCCGACCUCUGCAAGGACAGAAUUCAUGGACCAUCUCCAGGCCAGUGAAGAGCUUGAUAGCAGGCUGUAGGUGUGGACAGCUACGGUGCCCCUGGACUUGUGGGAACACCAAAGCUAGGGGUUGGUUUGUAAGGGGUUCGAGACAGGGUUUCUCUGUAGCCCUGGCUGUCCUGGAACUCACUCUAUAGACCAGGCUGGCCUCCAACUCAGAAAUCUGCCUGCCUCUCCUAAGUGCUGGGACUAAAAGCAUGUGCCACCACUGCCCGGCCUAGUUUUUUAUUUCAGAGAAAGAUUUUUGGAGUUAUUCUGAGUGGGGUGGUCUUUCCAUUCUGAGAAGGUAUUAGCUAAGAUUUGUCUUGAUACUUUUGCAGUUUUUUUUUUUUAAAGAUUUAUUUAUUAUUAUAUGUAAGUACACUGUAGCUGUUUUCAGACACCCCAGCAGAGGGAGUCAGAUCUCAUUACGGAUGGUUGUGAGCCACCAUGUGGUUGCUAGGCAUUGAACUCAGGACCUUCAGAAGAGCAGUCAGUGCUCCUAACCGCUGAGCCAUGUCUCCAGCCCCUUGUAGUGGUUUUUAAGCAUUCUAGAUAUCUGGAAUUUAAGCUAGAGAUGGUUCUAGAAAAGUUCUUGAAUUUUUAUGUGACAACUUCUAAUGUUACUGGGCCUCAUGAUGGAUGCUUACCAAGGCUGGGAUUGACAGUCAUUUAUCUUUAGAUUUUGGGUGUUCCCAUUAGCAUUGGUUACUAUACAAAUUUAUUUAAUAGAGUCUUGAAUGAUUAAGGAAGAGAAUGGAGCCCUCUACUGUUGGUUGGGAAGAACGUUAACAUUGGUACUGAAAGAUCCUGACAGAAUGUAAAAGGUCACAGAAGCCCUGAAAUUGACAAAAUAGAUUUCAUUGUUAGUAGAAGUAGCUUCACUGAUUUAGAAAAACAGAGGUGCACAGUGCUCUGGCCCCUUCUUGAAUCUGUGUCUGAAUGUUCUGACCGUUCCUUGAACCCAGCUGUGUGUCCACUGCUGCACCUCACUGCCAGGUGUUUGUGAUAUUGGUUGCUAAGAUAGAGUCAGAAAAUCUCCCCAGCAUUAGACUCUCCUUGUUUCCCUCCCAUACCCAUUUCUUAAGAAAUCAAUCAUUUUACAUUGUUUAGAUCUGGAAAUCCCCUACUCCCCUCUUCUCCUUUCCCCCCUGAGGACCUAUAAAAACUGGGACCCCUUUCCCCUCGGGGUCAACUCCUCUACCCCUGAGUGGGAUACGAGUCGUCCCCCGAGUUCUGGCUUUCCCCAAAUAAAGCCUCAUGUGGUUUGCAUCAA